GUGAUAUCAGUCCUCGCUCACUUAGGCAUGAGCUAAGAGAUUUUCUUGCUACUGAACAAACAGUCCAUGUUCACUGUAAUUGCAAAUAAGAUGAGAGUGUCUGUGUUUGGGAGGAGAGUUAAAACUAUUGCAGCUUUUCAUGCCAAAAAAAUUCUCCCUCUGUGUGAAUUCAGUGUUGCUGGCAAAACCCCAGUCUGAAAUGGGUUUUCUUACUCACUUAGCAUAUUCUUCUGGUGUGAAGGAAUAAUAUCCAACUAAACAUCUUACAGAAAGCUGCUUGCUGAUUUUGCUAAGCACACUUACUGAAAAUUAGUUCUUCUAAUUGCCAAAAAUACUUCUUUUCCAAAUGUUUCUUACCUCAAUUCUAGCCAGCAGGCAAGACAUACACUGAUGGGUGGAGGAGGUAUGAAUCAAGUCAUGAGUGUUGUGGAUACCUGGUAACACUUCAGCAGAUGAAAGAUCAAUGGAAAUGCACACUUUGAUUGUGACAGGGUUAGGAUCCAGCCCUAUGUACAUGAUUGGAUUUAUUACCCAAUUAAUCUACUCCUCCUCUUUGAAAAGGAUGACAUCCCAGACAUAGAUUUGGUUUAAAGAAGUAAAAAUAAUGAUAAAAUCCCAAAACUCACUACAUUAAUGAAGUUUGAAUAUGUGCCUGGUUACUGUUACUAGUCAUUUUGAUGAAUAAUACGGCUGCAAGCAAUUAAAAUUUUCAUAUAAAAAGGAGUUGGCUUAGAAUUUGAACUUUCAAAUGACUACCAACCAAGUUAAGAAGAAAAUUUCUUCUUCAGUACAACAGUAUGGUUAUACAGAGGUGUCUGCUGGAAAGGGAAGGUGAUGAUGCUCACAGACAAUACUGGCAGUGACCUGAGGAAGGAGAAAAAGCAACAGAAAUAAAUUCUUGUAAAAAACA